GGUCUGGUGGUGUAGUUGGAAACACGUUCUCUUCAUACCCAGAUGUUGGUGAUCAGAGAAAGUCCUUUGUUCCAAUCAAGGUCAGGUUA